rnacentral:rRNA from 1 species
UACAGAGGGUGCGAGCGUUGUUCGGAAUUAUUGGGCGUAAAGGGCGCGUAGGCGGCGCGGUAUGUCACAUGUGAAAUCUCCUGGCUCAACUGGGAGCUUGCAGGCGAAACUGCCGUGCUGGAGUGUGGGAGAGGUGCGUGGAAUUCCUGGUGUAGCGGUGAAAUGCGUAGAUAUCAGGAGGAACACCUGUGGCGAAAGCGGCGCACUGGACCACAACUGACGCUGAGGCGCGAAAGCUAGGGGAGCAAACAGG